GAGUCUGUGGACAGGCAAAACUAUGGAGAAAACUGUGCACAGACAUGAAAGACAUCUUGAGGAGCAAGUAUAAAAGGACUUUCUGGAGUCACCAACCUCCUCCUUUUUGCUUGCUCUAUCAGUUUGCCGAAGCAAAAAGCAGUUAUGGCUGAAACUAGCAGAGCCUGUAAACCAGUCCUAGGGAAGAUCACAGAAGAAUUCAUCCUUGGAAGACCUACAUGCUAAUUUCAUAGUCUGUGAGGUAUCUGCGGGACUGCUCAGUGAAACUGAAUCCGAAAGACACAACCCCAGUUAGCCCCAGAUGGUCUUCAGUCUUCUCAGAGACUGGCCUCACACUCCUGUGCACCCGUCUGGAGGAGCCUGCUUUAUUUCUGAGAAAACUCCCCAUGGAGAGUCCAGCAGCCUGAAGCCAGCUUGGUAGCCAUGCUACACCAAUUUAUAGACAUACUGAAUCUGACCCUAAUCAUCUUCCGACGGGUUUUAUUUACAGGGUGGAGACACCAUUUCCUUAGUAACUUCUGUAGAGAAAAUAUAAGAAAACACUGGGCUUUAGGUAAGUCAGCAAAAUGUCCUUUCUCACAGUCCACGGCAAACUAACCACAUGACA